GCCGUCGGCACCGUCGUGGAUGGUAGAGGCGGCGGCGGCCACGAUGGCUGCCUCGGCAUCGGUGUCGGUGUCGGUAUCCGUACCGUACCUCGCGCCCCUCUUCUUUCUUUUACCGGGAGCCGGCAGUAACACGGAGUCCGGAUUCCCCGCGGGCGCGUCCCCCCGCCGUGUGCGACGUCCCGCGCCUCUGCAACCGUUGUGGCGGAGGCGGUGCUUUCUAUGGACUCAGUAAUCCUGCGGUACGACCGCUUGCCAAGCGUGCCCGCAACGGUCGAAUAGGAAGAGCAUGACGACAUUUCGUCGUCGGAUCUCACCCCCCCCCCCCUUCGCGACCGCGGCGUCGCCGCAUCCCAUCUCGCGAGGGUCCCAGGCCGACGGUCAUAACGUCGGGUUCCUCCAACCCUCUCCGAGACACCCCAGUUCGAGUGUCCACUUCGCCAGACGCAUGAGCGUGUCCGGGGGCCUGGCGUCCCAGCCCCGGGCGGCCACGGUUGCUCCAUGACGACGCAGCGGGGCCCGCUUUACAACCCGCGGCUGCGCCGGUACUGGGGUGUCCCUCCCCUGCACCGUAAACGAUUUUUUGAUUCGUUUUUCUGUCCAUUGUGAUUCUGAAGUCGCCGAGGUCGUCAACAAGGAUUUCCAUCCUGGUGCCACUCACUCUUUCACACCCUGUCCCGGUCAAGGCUGGUGCAGGGUGAUGGGGAGCCCCACGAAAAGGUGAGGUGAGUGGUCUUGGCAGAUACGGGCCCACCAACUUCUCCGAGGUUCUCCGCACCGGAUUGGCAAACUGGCGGUGGCCGAAAACGCCAACCAGUCACCAUCCGGUUAUAGGAGAAUUUCAGAUUCAUCGGGGUUUCCCAGGGCUUGGUCCUACGCCCUGAGAACCCGUAGCCGCCUCGUGCCCCCCUUAAAAGCUAUUCUAUCCGUCAUUUAUCUUUUUAAAGCCUACUUUCACAAUUUAUGGUCGAUGGUCGAAUAAACAAGACACACAUAUCUCCUAAAUGUAUCUUUAUUUAUUCUUUAGUCUCCUAGAAUCCAAACAAAUCCAUUCUUUUGCCAUCCAAAAAAUUAUAUUGCCUUACGUAUUACUUAUUAUCAUUUUAUACUCUCUUUCCCUUCUUUUCUUACUUCUUUGAACUUUCACCCAUCUAACGUCUACAAUGUUUUUACAUAUUUUACAAUUUUCUAACAAAAUUAACCCAUGUUUUGACAAAUUCCCAUGCUGAAUCAACAUCGCUAUUACCUUCCCUGCUCCACCUUUCACACACCCAAGCUAAAAACGCGUUUAUUUUAUUUACGCAUCUUUUUUACACACCUCGUCUUUUCACCCUAUAUUUUUACGCUCUUAUUAUUACCUGCUUCAAGGAAAACGUUUCACAUUUCCAAACGCUUUUUCUUUUGCACAUCUUAUUUACACAUUUACGAGUUACUUCUUCCUGCCCUCCCUUCGUUACACAUUUCCCCCCCCCCCCCCCCAAGCUCGCACAUAACCAACGAGAUAAUACAAUUUCUCAUUAUCAGCGAUUAAACGCUCAUUUCCUUCUUCCUCUUGUUAAUCCUCUUGCUGUUCGUUGUUAUUUGUCACAAUCCACUUCUCCAGAUGCAUCGUCCAUCCAUGCUCGCAGGGCAAUUUAUACAAAGGAAAACAAACAGAUACGAUAAGCUAUAACUACAUAAGAGAUAAUUAAAAUUAUCCUUCGCGUUGUAUUUACCACCAUUUGCGAUCAACGUACAUUUGCUCUAAAUUUUCAGAUGCACAAAAUAUCUCACACAGCUCACAUUAACGAAAAACUCUGCAACCGUGGAACAUGCGCUCCUCAGACUGCCGAGACACCGUCAUGAACUACGUAGAGUUCGCAUCGAUGUCCAAUAAACUAUUCUAAUAUUUUCGAAUAAAUUUAAUAUAUUAUAUAUAAAAUACUAUAUAAUAUAUAUACUAUAUACUUCACUAUAUAAUAUAUACUAUAUACAUUAGGUGGUAAUGACAAAAUCCGCAAUCACUUAGUUGCCAACCCAGUAUUACGUUACAUAGCAUUACGCUGUAUAGUAUUACGUUAUAUCGUAUUACGUUAUGUAGUAUUACGGUAUACUAUAUUACGUUAUAAUGUAUUACGUCAGAUAGAAUUACGUUAUAUAGUAUUAUGCUAUAUAUUACGUUAUAACGUAUUACGUUAUGUAGUAUUACGCUAUAUAGUAUUACGUUAUAUCGUAUUACGUUUUCUAGUAUUACGGUAUUACGUUAUAAUGUAUUACGUUAUAUAGAAUUACGUUAUAUUAUAUUACGUUAUAUAGUAUUACGGCAUAUUAUGUUACGUUAUACUGUAUUACGUUAUAUACAAUUACAUGAUAUAAUAUUACGGUAUAUUAUAUUACGUUAUAGAGCAUUACGUUAUAUUGUAUUACGUUAUACUGUAUUAUGCUAUAUUAUAUUACGUUAUAAUGUAUUACGUUAAUGAGUUAUUUUAUAUAGUAUUACGUUAUAACAUAUUAGGUUAUAAUGUAUUGGGUAGACAACUAAGUGAUAGCGGAUUUUUCAUUAAGUGGUAAUGACAAAAACCCCCAUCACUUAGUUGCCAACACAAUAUUACGUUAAAUAGUAAUACGUUAUGAUAUAUUAAGUUUUAUAGUAUUACGCUGUUUAGAAUUACGUUAUAUUAUACUACGUUAUACUGUUACGUUACGGUAUUUGGUAUUACGUUAUAUUAUAUUACGUUAUAUUGUAUUACCUUAUAUUAUAUCACGUUAUAAUGUAUUACGUUAUAUAGUAUUACGAAUUAUUCAAAUCAUUUUAAGAUAAGAGAACAUAAAUUAGAUCUUAAAUGUAUGUAAUUUGUAAAAACUGUAUUAUAAAUAUUCAUAUCAUUUUAUAGCUUAAAAUUAUUAAAUUAUAUACAUGCUUACAUUAUGUAGACUUAUGUUAUAUAAGCACCUAUAUAUAUAUAUAUAUCGCAAUAAUCAUAAGAUCAUAAAUUAAAAUGUGUUUCAAUAAUGUAAUAACUUGCAUAGAUUUUUUUUCAUUAACAAAAACAUAGUUUACUAUGAUAUUUAUAAUAUACGUAUGUGUUUUUAAAUUAAUUUAUAUACUAUUAUUAUAGAAUAUUCCUUAAAUUAGUAUUAAAAUGUUGUAUAACUUCUUAAAUAUUAUAUAAGUUUUUACUUACAGCUUAACAAUUAAUAGAAUUAUCUAAUUAAUUAAUAGAAUUAAUAGAAUAAUUUAAUGUACAUUUCAAAAACAACAAUUGCAUAUUAAAUUGUUCACAAAAUCAUAUGUAGAAUUGAAGAAAAUUAUGGUAACAAUAAUCGUAUACUGCAUAAUAUUAAUAUUUAAAGAUUCAUGGUUCUAAAAUCUCAUUAUAAAUUCUUUUUUUUAAUAGUAUCUACUAUCUUGGAAGAGAAGUCUAAAUAGUUUAAUUAUAUUCAAAGUGACUAGAAAUGUUGCUAUUUUUUUUUCUUUUUUGGGGGGCUAUUAAUAGAUAUUUCUUAUUUUGGCAAGAAUGAUGUAUUGUAAAUUUGGGAAAUCAUGAAAAAGUUUUUAAAAAUUUAUAAUACUUAUUUUUAAAUAAUACUUUCUAAAAUUAUUUACCUGUAUAUUAAGCAAUGAAACAUAUGUAUGUAUGUAUGUAUGUAUGUAUGUA